rnacentral:lncRNA from 1 species
AAACAUGAAGAUCAAUGGGUCUGGGCAAAAUGGUAAUUCCAACAUCAGCAAGCCUCCAAAGGGUGGGGCUGGCAAUAAUGGUGGUAAUGCCAAAAAAGGUAUUACCUUUGAUCUGCCAGUACAAUUAAAGGGCAAGGGUAUGCAAGUUGAUGGGAAGAAGGACAAUGGAGGAAAGAAAGGUGGCGGAGGCGGUGGCGGUGGUGGAGAAGGUAAGAAGUUUGGGGGGUUACUAGGGAUUUGGGGAAGUGGUUGGAAAAGUGGAAAAAGCGGUAACACGGUUGUAAAUAAUGAUGGGAAGAAGGGCAAUGGAGGAAAGACAGGUGGUGGAGGAAAGACAGGUGGUGGUGGUGGUGGUGGUGGUAAAAAUGUGGAGGAUUUACUAGGGAAGGGGGGAAAUGGGAAUGGUAAGAAAG